CAGAGAACAACUUUUCUGCUUCUUGAAUUCUCCCUGCUUUGCAAAAACCAUCAAUAAGAGUGUUAAAACUUAAAAGUAAUUGUAUUUGGAACUAGUUCCAUACGACGCAUUUCCUUGAAAAUCUUGUAAGCCUGCCCGAUCUUUUUACCCUCGCAAUAUCCAUUUAUCAAUAUGCUACAACUCCGAACAUCAACCAUGGAGCCCUUGCUAACCAUAAGAUCAAAAACUUGUCUUGCGCCCUCCAUGUCUCCUCGCAAACAGUAACCGUCCAUAAGUGAGUUGUAUGUAAUUGUAUUAGGCUCGAUAUGUCUUUGAAUCAUCAUGUCAACCACACUUUUUGCUUCCAAAACCAUCCCUUCCUUACAAAGUGUAUCAACCAAAACAUUGAAGGUGACUACAUCUGGAAAGAUAGCUUUACUCACCAUUUCAUUCAACAACCUCGUAGCUUCUUUCCAAUGGCCUAUACUGCAAACUCCAUGAAUCAAAGAGGUGUAAGUAACAACGUCUGGAGUAAUACCUCUAAUAAUCAUUUCUGAGAAGAGGUUCAUUGCAUCUACAACUAGUGUAUCCUUGCAAAGACUGUUAAUGAUGGUGCUAUAGGAAACUAUGUUAGGCUCACAACCGUUUUCUUCCAUCUUCCUAAGUAAUUGCAUGGCCGCAUUGUUGUUUCCUCUCAUGCAAAACCCCUUUAUUAGUGUAGUGAAAGUAAACACAUUGGGCUUAGAAUGGUCUCCCUGCAGCAUUUUGGUGAAAAUUCGAGCAGCCUCAGGCACUUGAUUGUGGAGAACAAAGCCGUAAUAACAUUUGGUUGAAGACCCAAUUUGAAGAAUUGUGCAAAGACAGAUAAGGCAAACCCCAUUUGAUUCAAAUGGCAAUAGCAGUUGAUGACAAUAGAGAGAGUAUAGAGAUUAGGAACAAUUCGACGCAGAAGCAUUUGUUUAAAGAGAGGGAUGACAGCCGAACAGUGUUUCAAUUUGGAAAGUUGACCCAAUAUCUGUGUGAAACGAACAACAGAAGGCAGAGGACGCGAGCGAAGCAUUUGAUGGAAGACCUUCAAGGCAUCCUCAACAUUACUCGCAAUAAUAUUGGGUCGAUUUCCUAGAUGGGUUUGUCUCGAAUGAAACAAAUCCAUGAAAUUGGUUGAGGGUGGAUGAGGACCUCUCACAAGCUGGGUUUCUCUGGAUUGAGAAUGAAAUAAAGCAACAACAACAACAAGAGUAGAGUGAAGAAAAGGCAUACCACCUAUUGUGCUGCUGCUGCAAUAAUGAGAAUAAGAAGAAGAGAAAGCCCGAACUGAUUUGCGCAUCAUCAUCUUAAGCAUAUCUGACUGAAACUCAAAUCCUCUCUAGUUGUGAAGAACUGAUUUGCUGGAGACAGCCUU
rnacentral:lncRNA from 1 species